AAUGAACGCUGGCGGCGCGCCUAAUACAUGCAAGUCGAGCGAGAAGACGUAGCAAUACGUUUGUAAAGCGGCGAACGGGUGAGGAAUACAUGGGUAACCUACCCUCGAGUGGGGAAUAACUAGCCGAAAGGUUAGCUAAUACCGCGUACGCUUCUUGGACUUCGGUUCAGGAGGAAAGCGAUGCCGAGGGUAUCGCGCUCUUGGAUGGGCUCAUGUCCUAUCAGCUGUUGGUGAGGUAACGGCUCACCAAGGCUUCGACGGGUAGCUGGUCUGAGAGGACGAUCAGCCACACUGGCACUGCGACACGGGCCAGACUCCUACGGGAGGCAGCAGUAAGGAAUAUUGCGCAAUGGGCGAAAGCCUGACGCAGCGACGCCGCGGUGGGGGA
rnacentral:rRNA from 1 species